AGUGAACGCUGGCGGUAGGCCUAACACAUGCAAGUCGAACGGCAGCACAGUAAGAGCUUGCUCUUACGGGUGGCGAGUGGCGGACGGGUGAGGAAUACAUCGGAAUCUACUUUUUCGUGGGGGAUAACGUAGGGAAACUUACGCUAAUACCGCAUACGACCUACGGGUGAAAGCAGGGGAUCUUCGGACCUUGCGCGAUUGAAUGAGCCGAUGUCGGAUUAGCUAGUUGGCGGGGUAAAGGCCCACCAAGGCGACGAUCCGUAGCUGGUCUGAGAGGAUGAUCAGCCACACUGGAACUGAGACACGGUCCAGACUCCUACGGGAGGCAGCAGUGGGGAAUAUUGGACAAUGGGCGCAAGCCUGAUCCAGCCAUACCGCGUGGGUGAAGAAGGCCUUCGGGUUGUAAAGCCCUUUUGCCGGGAAAGAAAAGCAGCAGGUUAAUACCCCGCUGUUCUGACGGUACCCAAAGAAUAAGCACCGGCUAACUUCGUG
rnacentral:rRNA from 1 species